GAUAUAGGCAGGGAAAAAGUUAUCAAAGAAUGCAUCCAUGAAAACUUCCCAGGUGGUAGGGGUAGAUAGGACUUUUUUUUUAAAUCACCACCAGUGUUCAACUUCACCAUUUAGCAUAAAGGCUGCUAGAGGAACCUUCUGUUCCUCAAUCAGGUCUAGGAUAGAGAAAAGCUUCUCUCUUUGUAGGAUCCAGGCUUCGGCUACUAAGGGGUCAAGGCAACCUUCGAAAUGUGGCGAGUUAAGCUUCUAAACUCCACUAUGUUGUA
rnacentral:lncRNA from 1 species